GUGGGGAGAGAAAGGAAAAAUGGACUCGCUGGGAGUGUCCGCGCCGUCGCCCCCCGCCCCCCCGUAGCGCAAGCCUUCCCGUCCGGACUUUUCUUCCUUCCACGGAGCCCAGCCGCCGCCGAGCAGCCGCGUCACCCUCGCGCUCACUCGCUAACCCGCCCCGGCCGGGCUCCCUCCCGGGCCCGCCGUCCGCACGCCCUUCCCGCGGCCGCGGCGAGCCCGACCCCCGCGAGUCCCGCCCCGCCCCGCCCCGCCCCGCGCGCUCGCCGCCCCGGGGCCCGUCGCUCGCAGCGGCUCCGAGCGACCCGUCUCCGGUGGGGCCGGGGCGUCUCCGCGGCGGCCAGAUGCAGGCGGACCGAGGGGCGAGCGGAGGCCGCGGCCGCCGGCCAGGACGCGCCCGGCCCGGCGGCGACCGUGACCGCGAGCGCGACCGUGACCGCGACCGACCGUGACCGCGACCGUGACCGGGCGGGCGCCGCGGCGGCAAGAGGCGGCGGAGACAGUGGCGGCCGCCGGGGGCGCGGCCGGGGCUUCCGAGGAGGCCGCGGCGGCCGAGGAGGAGGCGCCCUGCGAGGCGGCCGUCGGGAGCCAGGAGGCCGGGGCGCGGGGGCCCGGGCGCCGGUAAGAGGCGCGGGCCGCGGGGUCGGGGCGUGGCCGCGGGGACCGGGGCGGACGGGGCCGGCGCGUGGCAGGAGCCGCCAGCCGCUCGCGGCGCGCACGAGGUGGGGGCGUCGGCGGCUGCGCCUGCGCCUGCGCCUGCGGCUGCGGCUGCGCCUGCGCGGGGCUGGCGGAGGGCGGAGGGCGGAGGGCAAAGGCGAGGGCGGGGGCGGGGGGGGGGCGGCGCGGCGUUCGGGUGGUGGCCGUGCGGCCGGCCUUCCGGGGCGCGGUGCCGGGGCAGGUGUGCCGAGCCUCGGACGCGGGUUCGGGGCCCUGGGACGGAAGGGGGCCCCCGCGGUGCACGUUCGCCGCGGGAGGCCCAGCGAGCGGGAGGAUGGGCGGGGUCUACGGGAGCAGGGACGGCCCCCGAGGCGCGGGGCCCCUAGUGUGGCGGGGCGGGGCGGGGCGGGGCGGGCUGCGUGCUCCCCCGCUUAG
rnacentral:lncRNA from 1 species